GAUUGAACGCUGGCGGCAUGCUUUACACAUGCAAGUCGAACGGCAGCGCGGGCUUCGGCCUGGCGGCGAGUGGCGAACGGGUGAGUAAUGCAUCGGAACGUGCCCAGUAGUGGGGGAUAGCCCGGCGAAAGCCGGAUUAAUACCGCAUACGACCUGAGGGUGAAAGCGGGGGACCGAAAGGCCUCGCGCUAUUGGAGCGGCCGAUGUCGGAUUAGCUAGUUGGUGGGGUAAAGGCUUACCAAGGCGACGAUCCGUAGCUGGUCUGAGAGGACGACCAGCCUCACUGGGACUGAGACACGGCCCAGACUCCUACGGGAGGCAGCAGUGGGGAAUUUUGGACAAUGGGGGCAACCCUGAUCCAGCCAUGCCGCGUGCGGGAAGAAGGCCUUCGGGUUGUAAACCGCUUUUGUUCGGGAAGAAAUCCUCUGGGCUAAUACCCCGGGGGGAUGACGGUACCGGAAGAAUAAGCACCGGCUAACUACGUG
rnacentral:rRNA from 1 species